GUUGAAGUAAGACGCACAGAGAAAGAACGAAGGUGGACGGAGAAUUAAAAUGCAACCGGGCAGGCAGAAUGACAUGAAAAGGAAUAGGGAACUAAUUCUGAGCAUAAGCUUAGAAAGCAGAUCCAGAGUUGCAAUCACUCCUUCCCCUUUAUGCUCUGUACUGAAGAAUGCUUUGUAAGAAGAAUGGCCCGAAAAAGUCCUUACAGGGGCUGCAAAGAAACAAGCCAUCAGGACCAUCGCAGAGGCUGCUGAGCAAGCCUCCAGAUGUCUAUGGAUCAAGAGGUGUGACCCAUGGACCAAUGCCUCUGGGACACAAGCCGGGACCUGAUCAACCCUGGCUGGGUCGCCUGGGCAAGAGUGUCUGAAGUUGAAAGACCUAAACCACCCAAUGACCCCCAGGAACCCCUCUGUUUCUGGGAAGAAGACUCCUAUCAGAUCCAGGCGUUCGAUGCUUCCUUGUUGACAUCUAGUCUGCUCAGAUCAUGGGGAUGUCUUCCAUAGAGGGUUAUGCUCUUCCAUCGGUUAACCUUUUCUGCUGUAGUGAUAAUUACUUCAUUUUUUGGGAUUGUGCUGUCACUUAAAUUUAGUGGCAUAUAUUUCCUAUUAGAAUUUCAUAUGCUCGCAUGGAGUGCUGAUUCAUGUUUUCAUUGAUGAAAAUGUAUUCUUAGAAGUUUUAUCUGACUUUUGUGUAAUUUUUUAUGUCUGUUAUUUCUCUUCCUCCUUUUGUCCAAGGUAGUCUCAGUCUGAAUGUGUUCGAGUGUACGCAGAGUUUUCUAAAAUCUGUCCUUCGAGUUCUUAUUUUUCUUUGUAAGUUUUCCAGAUCAGUUUUGGACCAAGAUAUUAUUAUUAUUAAUAUCAUCUUUGUUUUAUAUUCACACAGUUUGUCUUCUUUUGCACAUUGUUGCUUGUUAGUUUUCGUUCGUGUGUAGUUUUUCAAUAAUUCUAUUUUAUUUCUUUGUUUUGUUCUGAAUGCCUGCAAGAAAGCAAAACUCAGG